rnacentral:rRNA from 1 species
GAUGAACGCUGGCGGCGUGCUUAACACAUGCAAGUCGAACGGAAAGGCCCAGGCUUGCUUGGGUACUCGAGUGGCGAACGGGUGAGUAACACGUGGGUGAUCUGCCCUGCACUUCGGGAUAAGCCUGGGAAACUGGGUCUAAUACCGGAUAGGACGAUGGUUUGGAUGCCAUUGUGGAAAGUUUUUUCGGUGUGGGAUGAGCUCGCGGCCUAUCAGCUUGUUGGUGGGGUAAUGGCCUACCAAGGCGUCGACGGGUAGCCGGCCUGAGAGGGUGUACGGCCACAUUGGGACUGAGAUACGGCCCAGACUCCUACGGGAGGCAGCAGUGGGGAAUAUUGCACAAUGGGCGCAAGCCUGAUGCAGCGACGCCGCGUGGGGGAUGACGGCCUUCGGGUUGUAAACUCCUUUCGCUAGGGACGAAGCGUUUUUGUGACGGUACCUGGAGAAGAAGCACCGGCUAACUACGUG